UACGUAGGUGGCGAGCGUUGUCCGGAUUUAUUGGGUUUAAAGGGUGCGUAGGCGGCUUUGUAAGUCAGUGGUGAAAUACUCCAGCUUAACUGGAGGGGUGCCAUUGAUACUGCGGAGCUUGAGUACAGAUGAGGUAGGCGGAAUUGACGGUGUAGCGGUGAAAUGCAUAGAUAUCGUCAAGAACACCGAUAGCGAAGGCAGCUUACUGGGCGUAACUGACGCUGAUGCACGAAAGUGUGGGGAUCAAACAGG
rnacentral:rRNA from 1 species